rnacentral:rRNA from 1 species
UUGCACGCUAGCGGGAUGCUUUACCCAUGCAAGUCGAACGGCAGCGCGGACUUCGGUCUGGCGGCGAGUGGCGAACGGGUGAGUAAUGUAUCGGAACGUGCCCAGUAGCGGGGGAUAACUACGCGAAAGCGUAGCUAAUACCGCAUACGCCCUACGGGGGAAAGCAGGGGAUCGUAAGACCUUGCACUAUUGGAGCGGCCGAUAUCGGAUUAGCUAGUUGGUGAGGUAACGGCUCACCAAGGCGACGAUCCGUAGCUGGUUUGAGAGGACGACCAGCCACACUGGGACUGAGACACGGCCCAGACUCCUACGGGAGGCAGCAGUGGGGAAUUUUGGACAAUGGGGGCAACCCUGAUCCAGCCAUCCCGCGUGUGCGAUGAAGGCCUUCGGGUUGUAAAGCACUUUUGGCAGGAAAGAAACGUCGCGGGCUAAUACCCCGUGGAACUGACGGUACCUGCAGAAUAAGCACCGGCUAACUACGUG